rnacentral:lncRNA from 1 species
AUAGAGUCAUACUUAUAUUACAACCCAUGGUGGCAUGAUCACAGUAGUCCUCAAAAUUUCAUGUAAAUAUACACCACAUAGAUCAUGUACAAGUCCCAAGGUUUAUACAAAAUAUAGAUGCCUAUAUGCAAUUGUGAUCUUCCAUCACCAAUGGCCAUCUUCAUGCCUCCUCUCGAUCAUUCCCUACGAUAGAAACAACUAUCGCUAAGCAUAUAGCAUAAUGGUAUAAAAACUAUAGGUUCGGAGCCAUCAGAUUCACAAAACUACCUUUCUCAAGUCAUGAGCAGAAUAAUCGAACAUAAUAAAUAAAUCAAGUAAACAAUAUAUCAAGAGUAUCAAGUUCGAUAUUUAGAGGUCCAAGUGUCAAGAACGCUCAUAGUACCAUUUUUCAAAAGAUUCAAUAACAAGGCUCGCCCAAUAUGUACAUCAUGUCUUCACACCAAGCACAAUCAAGUAUCGAGAAGAGCCGACGCCCUGU